rnacentral:rRNA from 1 species
ACGCUGGCGGCAGGCCUAACACAUGCAAGUCGAGCGGUAGCACAGAGAGCUUGCUCUCGGGUGACGAGCGGCGGACGGGUGAGUAAUGUCUGGGAAACUGCCUGAUGGAGGGGGAUAACUACUGGAAACGGUAGCUAAUACCGCAUAACGUCGCAAGACCAAAGUGGGGGACCUUCGGGCCUCAUGCCAUCAGAUGUGCCCAGAUGGGAUUAGCUAGUAGGUGGGGUAAUGGCUCACCUAGGCGACGAUCCCUAGCUGGUCUGAGAGGAUGACCAGCCACACUGGAACUGAGACACGGUCCAGACUCCUACGGGAGGCAGCAGUGGGGAAUAUUGCACAAUGGGCGCAAGCCUGAUGCAGCCAUGCCGCGUGUAUGAAGAAGGCCUUCGGGUUGUAAAGUACUUUCAGCGAGGAGGAAGGCGUUAAGGUUAAUAACCUUGGCGAUUGACGUUACUCGCAGAAGAAGCACCGGCUAACUCCGUGCCAGCAGCCGCGGUAAUACGGAGGGUGCAAGCGUUAAUCGGAAUUACUGGGCGUAAAGCGCACGCAGGCGGUCUGUCAAGUCGGAUGUGAAAUCCCCGGGCUCAACCUGGGAACUGCAUUCGAAACUGGCAGGCUAGAGUCUUGUAGAGGGGGGUAGAAUUCCAGGUGUAGCGGUGAAAUGCGUAGAGAUCUGGAGGAAUACCGGUGGCGAAGGCGGCCCCCUGGACAAAGACUGACGCUCAGGUGCGAAAGCGUGGGGAGCAAACAGGAUUAGAUACCCUGGUAGUCCACGCCGUAAACGAUGUCGACUUGGAGGUUGUGCCCUUGAGGCGUGGCUUCCGGAGCUAACGCGUUAAGUCGACCGCCUGGGGAGUACGGCCGCAAGGUUAAAACUCAAAUGAAUUGACGGGGGCCCGCACAAGCGGUGGAGCAUGUGGUUUAAUUCGAUGCAACGCGAAGAACCUUACCUACUCUUGACAUCCAGAGAACUUAGCAGAGAUGCUUUGGUGCCUUCGGGAACUCUGAGACAGGUGCUGCAUGGCUGUCGUCAGCUCGUGUUGUGAAAUGUUGGGUUAAGUCCCGCAACGAGCGCAACCCUUAUCCUUUGUUGCCAGCGGUCCGGCCGGGAACUCAAAGGAGACUGCCAGUGAUAAACUGGAGGAAGGUGGGGAUGACGUCAAGUCAUCAUGGCCCUUACGAGUAGGGCUACACACGUGCUACAAUGGCAUAUACAAAGAGAAGCGACCUCGCGAGAGCAAGCGGACCUCAUAAAGUAUGUCGUAGUCCGGAUUGGAGUCUGCAACUCGACUCCAUGAAGUCGGAAUCGCUAGUAAUCGUAGAUCAGAAUGCUACGGUGAAUACGUUCCCGGGCCUUGUACACACCGCCCGUCACACCAUGGGAGUGGGUUGCAAAAGAAGUAGGUAGCUUAACCUUCGGGAGGNCGCUU